GACGAACGCUGGCGGCGUGCUUAACACAUGCAAGUCGAACGGAAAGGCCCUGCUUUUGUUGCGUGCUCGAGUGGCGAACGGGUGAGUAACACGUGAGUAACCUGCCCUUGACUUUGGGAUAACUUCAGGAAACUGGGGCUAAUACCGGGUAGGAGCUCCUGCUGCAUGGUGGGGGUUGGAAAGUUUCGGCGGUUGGGGAUGGACUCGCGGCUUAUCAGCUUGUUGGUGAGGUAGUGGCUUACCAAGGCUUUGACGGGUAGCCGGCCUGAGAGGGUGACCGGCGACAUUGGGACUGAGAUACGGCGCAGACUCGAAUGGGAGGCAGCAGUGGGAAAUAUUGCACAGUGGGCGGAAGCGUGAUGCAGCAACGCCGCGUGCGGGAUGACGGCCUUCGGGUUGUAAACCGCUUUCGACUGAGACGAAGCGUGAGUGACGGUAAUGGGUAAAGAAGCACCGGCUAACUACGUG
rnacentral:rRNA from 1 species